ACGCGCUCUCCACUGGCCCGGAUGGCGCAGCCCUCCCUCCCCCCUCCCCACCUCUCCUUCUGGGCCUUCGGGAGUGUGGGCGCCCAGCGGCACCAGCAAGUCCCUGCAGAAAGCAACAGUGUGGAUACAUUGUGGAGGAGUUACCAAACGAAUUUGCUACUAAAAGGAAUCCCAAGGAGGCACUAUCUCGAGCCUGGAGAUGGAAGCCAGGAGGUCUUCGAGUCUUCCCCAAGACCACAAAGCUAACGGGUGAGUAAAGACACAACCAAAAAAUAAGAACAAGGACUCAAAGAAGGCUUCAAGUACGGAAACAUGAACCAUCUGACAACUUGUAGGAAAAACAAGAGAUUCUUCUAUCUGCAUUUCAAUUCGUCUGUGCCAGUAUGUGAAGAAGGCAUUGUAGGUGGGCAGAAGGAGGGAGGGAAAAAUGAGAGAAAGAAAAAAUAAAAUGUAGAUGUCUGAAAUGAUUUAAAAAAACAAUUGUGUGGCAUAAGAAAAAAUGAUUUUAAUGCUUAUAAUGAAAUCAAGUUAGAGCUGGGCUCCAAAGGCUCAUGCGUGUAACCCUAGCUACUCAGGAAGCUGAAAUCC